UUCCUAGCGAGACCGCCUCGCAAAACGAGGAGGAAGGCGGGGAUGGCGUCAAGUCAGCAUGGCCUUUAUACCCUGGGCGACACACACGCUACAAUGGGUGGUACAGUAGGUAGCGAAGGAGCGAUCCGGAGCAAAUCCUUAAAACCAUCCUCAGUACGGAUUGCAGGCUGAAACCCGCCUGCAUGAAGCCGGAGUUGCUAGUAACCGCAUAUCAGCAUGGUGCGGUGAAUACGUUCUCGGGCCUU
rnacentral:rRNA from 1 species